rnacentral:snRNA from 1 species
GAUAUAGAGUAGAUUAUCAUGGGGCCCGUGCAAGGAUGACAUGAAAAUUCUUGAAGCAUUCCAUAUUUUU